CCGAGUUAUUACUCCAAACCCAUUGUGAACCUUACCUAUGUUCUGUUGCCUCGGCGGGGCGCGCGCCCCUGAAAAGGCCGAUCCCCGCCGGCAGCACUAAACUCUUGAACUUUAGCGGAUUACAAUUCUGAAUACAAUACAAAAUAUAUCA
rnacentral:misc_RNA from 1 species